CCAAUAGCGUAUAUUAAAGUUGCUGCAGUUAAAAAGCUCGUAGUUGAAUUUCGGGACUAAUAUGUCGGUCGUGCCUCGGUACGUACUGGUAUUUUCGGUUUCUCCCUUCUGACGAACCUUGAUGUCAUUAAUUUGGUGUCUUGGGGAAUCAGGACUGUUACUUUGAAAAAAUUAGAGUGUUUAAAGCAGGCUCACGCUUGAAUACAUUAGCAUGGAAUAAUGAAAUAGGACGUUUGAUUCUAUUUUGUUGGUUUCUAGGAUCGACGUAAUGAUUAAUAGGGAUAGUUGGGGGCAUUAGUAUUCAAUUGUCAGAGGUGAAAUUCUUGGAUUUAUUGAAGACUAACUACUGCGAAAGCAUUUGCCAAGGAUGUUUUCAUUAAUCAAGAACGAAAGUUAGGGGAUCGAAGACGAUCAGAUACCGUCGUAGUCUUAACCAUAAACUAUGCCGACUAGGGAUCGGAUGAUGUUAAUUUUUUAAUGACUCAUUCGGCGCCUUACG
rnacentral:rRNA from 1 species